GAUGAACGCUGGCGGCGUGCUUAACACAUGCAAGUCGAACGAAGCAUUUAGAACAGAUUAUUUCGGUAUGAAGUUCUUUAUGACUGAGUGGCGGACGGGUGAGUAACGCGUGGGUAACCUGCCUUGUACUGGGGGAUAGCAGCUGGAAACGGCUGGUAAUACCGCAUAAGCGCACGGUGCCGCAUGGCACAGUGGGAAAAACUCCGGUGGUAUAAGAUGGACCCGCGUCUGAUUAGCUAGUUGGUGAGAUAACAGCCCACCAAGGCGACGAUCAGUAGCCGACCUGAGAGGGUGACCGGCCACAUUGGGACUGAGACACGGCCCAGACUCCUACGGGAGGCAGCAGUGGGGAAUAUUGCACAAUGGAGGAAACUCUGAUGCAGCGACGCCGCGUGAGUGAAGAAGUAAUUCGUUAUGUAAAGCUCUAUCAGCAGGGAAGAUAGUGACGGUACCUGACUAAGAAGCUCCGGCUAAAUACGUGCCAGCAGCCGCCGUAA
rnacentral:rRNA from 1 species